GGACAGAUGGGUGAGUGGCUUAAACCAGUUCUUUGCUAAAGAACCGACCCGCAAGGGUCCGAAGGUUCGAAUCCUUCUCUGUUCG
rnacentral:tRNA from 1 species